UCUUAUAUAGUGUCAUACUGUACAUUGUAACAACAUUCAUUUUUUACUUCUACUUUUUCCCUGCAUCAUUAUAUGACCAAAUAUUCUAUAUCAUUCCACUAUUAAUUUUUCCAUUACUAAUAUUGUUUACGAAAAAGAUGGUCACGUGGUACUACAAACGUAAAAUUUCGGAAAAUCAAGAAAAAUUAAGUACUAUGCAAUUAGA